AAGACCCAUCUAGGGACAGACAUUGCGAAUUAGCGCUUGCUAAAAUGUUGUAGUAUGUAACAUGACUCAUGGAACAUACUUGUCCCUAUUCAAAUAAACCUAAAAUAAAAAAUAGAAUUAAAUGCAAAAGCGCUGUAAC